rnacentral:rRNA from 2 species
GAUAAACGCGGCGGCGCACAUAAGACAUCCAAGUCGAACGAACUUAAUGAGAGCUUGCUCUCACAGCGGUUAGUGGCGGACUGGUGAGUAACACGUAAGCAACCUGCCUAUUAGAGGGGAAUAACAGCGAGAAAUCGUUGCUAAUACCGCAUAUGCUGUGAGUAUCGCAUGAUACAAGCAGGAAAGGAGUAAUCCGCUAAUAGAUGGGCUUGCGUCUGAUUAGUUAGUUGGUGGGGUAACGGCCUACCAAGACGAUGAUCAGUAGCCGGACUGAGAGGUUGAACGGCCACAUUGGGACUGAGAUACGGCCCAGACUCCUACGGGAGGCAGCAGUCGGGAAUAUUGCGCAAUGGAGGAAACUCUGACGCAGUGACGCCGCGUGCAGGAAGAAGGUUUUCGGAUUGUAAACUGCUUUUAACAGGAAAGAAAAAAAUGACGGUACCUGUUGAAUAAGCUCCGGCUAACUACGUGCCAGCAGCCGCGGUAAUACGUAGGGAGCGAGCGUUAUCCGGAUUUAUUGGGUGUAAAGGGUGCGUAGACGGAAAUGCAAGUUAGUUGUGAAAUACCUCGGCUUAACUGAGGAACUGCAACUAAAACUAUAUUUCUUGAGUAUCGGAGGGGUUUGUGGAAUUCCUAGUGUAGCGGUGAAAUGCGUAGAUAUUAGGAAGAACACCGGUGGCGAAGGCGACAAACUGGACGAUAACUGACGUUGAGGCACGAAAGUGUGGGGAGCAAACAGG